rnacentral:lncRNA from 1 species
GGGGAAUGGGAACUGGAAAACAGUUACUCAGUUAAUGCAGAAGUUAAAAAAAAGAACCUAAUUACUUGUGUAAGAAGAAAAAAAAAGCAAGGGAAAAAAAAAAGCAUUGAAGGGCAGAGAAGCAUUAAAUGUUAAAGCAGAAAGUUGCCUUUGCCACAGAGGAAAAAAAAUAAAAAUAUUAAAAAAAAGAAGAAGAAGAAAAGAAAAGAAGAAAAGAAAAGAAGAAUUAAAACCAGCCCGAUCCUGAGGGUAGCCGUCAGAGUGGCGCGGGGUGGGAGCGCGCCCUGCAUGUAUGGAUGAGCACAGAAGCGGCCGAGGACCGCCGUUCGCGCAGUUUCCGCUCAGUGUAGAGGACGCGCAGCAGCGCGGAGCGAGGGCGCUGUAUGGAGAGGUGUGCAAUGAGAAGCGGAUGGAUGGAGGGAAACGGGGAGGGGUGAGGAGAGGGGUCUGCCGGAUCCGGGGUUGUUCCUGUUACAGCCGCCGCGGUACAAAGAGAAGGACUGCGCGGUGUGUGGUGAAGGCAAACGGCGCAGGGUGUUGGUGGAAGGAGAGUCAUCACUGCUGAUGGGGAAUAAAAUGUAUUUAAGCCAAAAAAAAAAAAAAAAAAAAAAAGGAAAGAAAAAUUCUAUCUGUAAGGUGGUGAUGGGAGAUAAAAUGGUUACUGGGGGAAAGCUGGUGGCUUGGGAAGUGAGGCAGAUAGGGGAGAGUGCUCACCAAGUCGCCCCUUUGCUGUGAUGCGGUGGGUAUCCGCAUGUGCUUAGGGGUAGGGGCGCGGUGUGAGCCGGCACACACACACACACACACACGCACACGCACACACACAUCGCCGAGGGCGGGCAGACCCCCCGCCCCCCGGGCUCAGCCGGGGGAGGUGCCUCGGUCCCCCCCACCCCGGCGGGGAGGGGGCACGGCGGGGCCGGGAGGGGCUCGCGGGAGCCGGCAGCGCGGAUGUCUUCACCUGGGUCUGUGCAGCAGUGAGCGCGGCGAGGAGAGGCGGCUGAACAGUAUAAGGGACUGCUCAAUUUGA